rnacentral:rRNA from 1 species
UACGUAGGGUGCGAGCGUUGUCCGGAAUUAUUGGGCGUAAAGAGCUUGUAGGCGGUCUGUCGCGUCUGCUGUGAAAAUCCGGGGCUCAACCCCCGGACUUGCAGUGGGUACGGGCAGACUAGAGUGUGGUAGGGGAGACUGGAAUUCCUGGUGUAGCGGUGAAAUGCGCAGAUAUCAGGAGGAACACCGAUGGCGAAGGCAGGUCUCUGGGCCACUACUGACGCUGGAGAAGCG